GGCAGUUCUCAGGUGAUGCACCCCGGAAUCGGGCUCUCUCCUCUCUGGUUCUGGGUGCGUCACCUGAGAACCGCA
rfam:Myotis lucifugus cont2.4428, whole genome shotgun sequence.